GAUGAACGCUGGCGGCGUGCCUAAUACAUGCAAGUCGAGCGAACAGACGAGGAGCUUGCUCCUCUGACGUUAGCGGCGGACGGGUGAGUAACACGUGGAUAACCUACCUAUAAGACUGGGAUAACUUCGGGAAACCGGAGCUAAUACCGGAUAAUAUAUUGAACCGCAUGGUUCAAUAGUGAAAGACGGUUUUGCUGUCACUUAUAGAUGGAUCCGCGCCGCAUUAGCUAGUUGGUAAGGUAACGGCUUACCAAGGCGACGAUGCGUAGCCGACCUGAUAGGGUGGUCGGCCACACUGGAACUGAGACACGCACCAGACUCCUACGGGAGGCAGCAGUAGGGAAUCUUCCGCAAUGGGCGAAAGCAUGACGGAGCAACGCCGCGUGAGUGAUGAAGGUCUUCGGAGCGUAAAACUCUGUUAUUAGGGAAGAACAAAUGUGUAAGUAACUAUGCACGUCUUGACGGUAACUAAUCAGAAAGCCACGGCUAACUACGUG
rnacentral:rRNA from 1 species